CCUACGGGUGGCAGCAGUGAGGAAUAUUGGUCAAUGGGCGAGAGCCUGAACCAGCCAAGUCGCGUGAGGGAAGACGGUCCUAAGGAUUGUAAACCUCUUUUGCCGGGGAGCAAAAAGCGGUACGUGUACCGCAUCGAGAGUACCCGGAGAAAAAGCAUCGGCUAACUCCGUGCCAGCAGCCGCGGUAAUACGGAGGAUGCGAGCGUUAUCCGGAUUUAUUGGGUUUAAAGGGUGCGCAGGCGGAGAGUUAAGUCAGCGGUAAAAUGUCGGGGCUCAACCCCGGCGAGCCGUUGAAACUGGCUGGCUAGAGAGGGCGAGAGGUAUGCGGAAUGCGCGGUGUAGCGGUGAAAUGCAUAGAU
rnacentral:rRNA from 1 species